UGAGCAAUCUGCCCUUCUCAUCGGAAUAAGCGUUGGAAACGACGUCUAAUGCCGAAUACGACCUCCUUUCGCAUGAUCGGAGGUGGAAAGCUCCGGCGGAGAAGGAUGAGCUCGCGGCCUAUCAGCUAGUUGGUGUGGGUAAUGGCCCACCAAGGCGACGACGGGUAGCCGGCCUGAGAGGGUGACCGGCCACACUGGGACUGAGACACGGCCCAGACUCCUACAGGAGG
rnacentral:rRNA from 1 species